UGAUUUUGCUGUUUGAUGUUUAUGUUAUUAAUUCAUCAUUUUCUUUUAUCAAACCUGGCAGCCACGAUUGAAAACCCAGGCUGAGACUUGUGACAAGACGCAGCAAACACCACUCAAGAAACGCCGAUGAAAUGCAUUUUUUUUCAAUCUCAACCAUACAAUUGUUCUUUCAUGACAUUAGAAUAUGAUGAUAUCGUUCCCCCAAACGAUGAUAAUU
rnacentral:ribozyme from 13 species